UCCUAGGCCGACUAAGAAUUCUUAACCU
rnacentral:piRNA from 1 species